rnacentral:rRNA from 1 species
ACAUGCCUACAUCAUAGCAUUAAUGCAACAAAACCCAUUAGAAAUCCAUAGUUAAGCGUGCUCAGGAUAGAGUAGUAUUGGGAUGGGUGACCACCCAGGAAGUCCUAGUAUUUUACAUUCC